UACGUAGGGGGCGAGCGUUGUCCGGAUUUAUUGGGCGUAAAGAGCGUGUAGGCGGUUCGGUAAGUCUGUCGUGAAAUCCUGAGGCUCAACCUCGGGCGUGCGAUGGAUACUGCCGGGCUAGAGGGUGGUAGAGGCGAGUGGAAUUCCCGGUGUAGCGGUGGAAUGCGUAGAGAUCCGGAAGAACACCGGAGGCGAAGGCGGCCAGCUGGGCGUGAUCGUGGACGCUGAG
rnacentral:rRNA from 1 species